rnacentral:rRNA from 1 species
UACGGAGGGUGCGAGCGUUGUCCGGAAUCACUGGGCGUAAAGGGCGCGUAGGCGGCGCGGGAAGUCAUCGGUGAAAGUUCAGGGCUCAACUCUGAAUCGGCCGGUGAUACUCUCGUGCUCGAGCACUGUAGAGGCAGGUGGAAUUCCGGGUGUAGCGGUGGAAUGCGUAGAGAUCCGGAAGAACACCGGUGGCGAAGGCGGCCUGCUGGGCAGUAGCUGACGCUGAUGCGCGACGAGCGUGGGGAGCAAACAGG